UUGAUCCUGGCUCAGGACGAACGCUGGCGGCGUGCCUAAUACAUGCAAGUCGAGCGAACCACUUCGGUGGUUAGCGGCGGACGGGUGAGUAACACGUGGGCAACCUGCCUGUAAGACUGGGAUAACUUCGGGAAACCGGAGCUAAUACCGGAUAAUCCUUUUCCUCUCAUGAGGRAAAGCUGAAAGACGGUUUCGGCUGUCACUUACAGAUGGGCCCGCGGCGCAUUAGCUAGUUGGUGAGGUAACGGCUCACCAAGGCGACGAUGCGUAGCCGACCUGAGAGGGUGAUCGGCCACACUGGGACUGAGACACGGCCCAGACUCCUACGGGAGGCAGCAGUAGGGAAUCUUCCACAAUGGACGAAAGUCUGAUGGAGCAACGCCGCGUGAGCGAUGAAGGCCUUCGGGUCGUAAAG
rnacentral:rRNA from 1 species